UACGUAGGGGGCAAGCGUUGUCCGGAAUCAUUGGGCGUAAAGCGCGUGUAGGCGGCUCGAUACGUCUGCUGUGAAAGUCCAGGGCUCAACCCUGGGAUGCCGGUGGAUACUGUCGAGCUCGAGUCCGGAAGAGGCGAGUGGAAUUCCUGGUGUAGCGGUGAAAUGCGCAGAUAUCAGGAGGAACACCAAUGGCGAAGGCAGCUCGCUGGGACGGUACUGACGCUGAGGAGCGAAAGCGUGGGUAGCGAACAGG
rnacentral:rRNA from 1 species